GGAUAAGGACAAUUUGGCUGCAAAAUCUGACACCCAUUAAUCACCAGGUUUGAUUUGGAUGAUCUUUCUGGUUAAGCUGGUUUCCCCUUCCUCUGUCACUGCCAAUAGAGGAGGACCAGUUUUUGGUCAGGGGUAUAAGGGUAGCUGUGCUCCUCUGCUAGAAUCUCCAAACAAGCUCCCAAAAAUAUCACCUAAUGAAACAUUUUUGAAAAAAAUAAUUGAUUUUGCUACCCCUUUCUACUCUAAAUUUACCUCUGUUUAAAAAU
rfam:Mesocricetus auratus contig048736, whole genome shotgun sequence.